rnacentral:rRNA from 1 species
UCAGAAGGCACACCCGGAGAACUGAAACAUCUUAGUACCCGGAGGAAGAGAAAGAAAAUUCGAUUCCCUUAGUAGCGGCGAGCGAAACGGGAAGAGCCCAAACCAACAAGCUUGCUUGUUGGGGUUGUAGGACACUCUAUACGGAGUUACAAAGGACGACAUUAGACGAAUCAUCUGGAAAGAUGAAUCAAAGAAGGUAAUAAUCCUGUAGUCGAAAAUGUUGUCUCUCUUGAGUGGAUCCUGAGUACGACGGAGCACGUGAAAUUCCGUCGGAAUCUGGGAGGACCAUCUCCUAAGGCUAAAUACUCUCUAGUGACCGAUAGUGAACCAGUACCGUGAGGGAAAGGUGAAAAGCACCCCGGAAGGGGAGUGAAAUAGAACCUGAAACCGUGUGCUUACAAGUAGUCAGAGCCCGUUAAUGGGUGAUGGCGUGCCUUUUGUAGAAUGAACCGGCGAGUUACGAUUUGAUGCAAGGUUAAGCAGUAAAUGUGGAGC